AGGCUAAUAACAAAAGGCUACAAAGUAAAGCCUCCUCUCGGCAAAGCCGGACAUGGAGGACCUCGGUCCACGCCGAGUGAAGAACCGAAACACAGAGCCCAGAAAGGAGGAAACAAAAAGCAGAACCAGAGGGGCAGGAACUGUGUCGCCAGGGCUUGAAAAGACGGAAAAAGGCCGGCUUCCUCCCGCGUGAGGUCCGUUCCCGCUCCAGACUCCAACCAUUUCCGCUCAGGGUAACCGCAAAACCCUUCCCGCGCGGGAACUCGGCGGAGGAGGAGUCUUGGGUCCCGCCCUUCUGGCGGAGCGCAUAA
rnacentral:lncRNA from 1 species